rnacentral:rRNA from 1 species
ACGCUGGCGGCAGGCCUAACACAUGCAAGUCGAGCGGUAGAGAGAAGCUCGCUUCUCUUGAGAGCGGCGGACGGGUGAGUAAUGCCUAGGAAUCUGCCUGGUAGUGGGGGAUAACGUUCGGAAACGGACGCUAAUACCGCAUACGUCCUACGGGAGAAAGCAGGGGACCUUCGGGCCUUGCGCUAUCAGAUGAGCCUAGGUCGGAUUAGCUAGUUGGUGAGGUAAUGGCUCACCAAGGCGACGAUCCGUAACUGGUCUGAGAGGAUGAUCAGUCACACUGGAACUGAGACACGGUCCAGACUCCUACGGGAGGCAGCAGUGGGGAAUAUUGGGAUCAAUGGGCGAAAGCCUGAUCCAGCCAUGCCGCGUGUGUGAAGAAGGUCUUCGGAUUGUAAAGCACUUUAAGUUGGGAGGAAGGGUUGUAGAUUAAUACUCUGCAAUUUUGACGUUACCGACAGAAUAAGCACCGGCUAACUCUGUGCCAGCAGCCGCGGUAAUACAGAGGGUGCAAGCGUUAAUCGGAAUUACUGGGCGUAAAGCGCGCGUAGGUGGUUUGUUAAGUUGGAUGUGAAAUCCCCGGGCUCAACCUGGGAACUGCAUUCAAAACUGACUGACUAGAGUAUGGUAGAGGGUGGUGGAAUUUCCUGUGUAGCGGUGAAAUGCGUAGAUAUAGGAAGGAACACCAGUGGCGAAGGCGACCACCUGGACUGAUACUGACACUGAGGUGCGAAAGCGUGGGGAGCAAAC